UAUUGAUAAAUAUAGAGCGAUUUACACGGUUAUCAAAACGUCAUGCCAGGGUAAGCCUACACGAAACACAGCCCUUAUUUUCGGUGUUUCUGAAAUUCCCUAUGGGGAAAAAUGAAUAGUGGAAAAAACGAUUGGAAUCAUAUCCUUGUUUGACUGCUAAGUUUUAUGGGUAUUAUGACUCAUACUGUGGAACUUUAUUAGAACCUUAUUAUAGAUCAGUGAUUAGAACCUUCAAUCCCUGGCAUUCAACUAGGGGUACGCGGCAAAAAUAAAUAUUAUAUACACUGCCUUCGGAAAGUAUUCAGACCCCUUGACUUUUUCCAAAUUGUGUUACUUAACAGACUUAUUCUAAAAUUGAUUUUUAAAAAAUGUUUUAAGAAUCUUCAGCACUUUACACACAAUACCCCAUAAUGACAAAGCGAAAACAGAUCUCAAUUAUUUUUGCAAAUGUAUUAAAAAUAAAAAACAUACCUUUUAUAUACAUACGAAUUCAGACCUUUUGCUAUGAAACUCGAAAUUAAGCUCAGGUGCAUUCUGUUUCCAUUGAUCAUCAUUGAGAUGUUUCUACAACUUAAUAGGAGUCCACUUCUAGUAAAUUCAGUUGAUUGGACAUGAUCUGAAAAGGCACACACUUGUCUAUAUAAGGUCCCACAGUUGACAGUGCAUGUCAGAGCAAAACCCAAGCCAUGAAGUUGAAGGAAUUGUCUGUAGAGUGCCGAGAAAGGAUUGUGUCGAGGCAUAGAUCUGGGGAAGGGUAGGUAAACAUUUCUGCAGCAUUGAAGGUCCCUAAAAACACAGUGGCCUCCAUCAACACUCUUCCUAGAGUUUGGAACAACCAAGGCUUUUCCUAGAGCGGGCCGCACAGCCAAACUGAGCAAUCGGGGGAGAAGGGUCUUGGUCAGGGCUUGAUCAGGGACCCUUGUUCACUCUGACAGAGCUCUAGAGUUCCUCUGUGGAGAUGGGAGAAACUUUCAGAAGAACGAUCAUCUCUGCUGCACUCCACCAAUCAGGCCACUCCUCAGUAAAAGGCACAUGACAGCCCGCUUGGAGUUUACCAAAAGGCACCUAAAGACUCUCAGACCAUGAGAAACAAGAUUCUCUGAUCUGAUGAAACCAAGAUUGAAGUCUUUGUCCUGAAUGCCAAGUGUUAUGUCUGGAGGAAACCUGUCACCAUCCCGAUGGUGAAGCAUGGUGGCGGCAGCAUCAUGCUGUGGGGAUGUUUUUCAGCGGCAGGGACUGGGAGACUAGUCAAGAUUGAGGCAAAGAUGAACUGAGGAAAGUACAGAGAGAUCCUUCAUGAAAACCUGCUCCGGAGCGCUCAGAACCUCAGACUGGGGCGAAGGUUCAGCUUCCAACAAGACAACUACCCUAAGCACACAGCCAAGACAGUGCAGGAGUGCCUUCGGGACAAGUCUCUGAAUGUCCUUGAAUGGCCCAGCCAGAGCCCGGACUUGAACCCUGUCAAACAUCUCUGGAGAGACCUGAAAAUAGCUGUGCAGUGUUCACUCCCCAUCCUACCUGACAGAGCUUGAGAGGAUCUUCAGAGAAGAAUGGGAGAAACUCCCCAAAUAAGGGUGUGCCAAUCUUGUAUCGUCAUAUACCCAAGAAGACUCGAGGCUGUAAUCACUGCCAAAGGUGCUUCAACAAAGUACUGAAUAAGGAUCUGAAUUCUUAUGUAAAUGUGAAAUUUCAGUUUUUUUAUAAUUUAGCACAAAUUUCUCAACCUGUUUUUGCUUUGUCAUUAUGGGGUAUUGUGUGUUGAUUGAUGAGGGAAAACAACUAUUUUAUAAAUUUUAGAAUAUGGCUGUAACCGAACAAAAUGUGGAAAAAGUAAAGGGGUCUGAAAUCUUCUGAAGGCUGUGUGUGUGUGUGUGUGUGUGUGUGUGUGUGUGUGUGUGUGUGUGUGUGUGUGUGUGUGUGUGUGUGUGUGUGUGUGUGUGUGUGUGUGUGUGUGUGUGUGUGUGUGUAUAUAUUAUUUUCAAUGUUAUGAAUGUCGCCGGCAACAACAGAAUAAAUUAUGAAUUACAUACAUACAGUAGAAAAGAGGAGAAUAUAUUCUUUCAAUUUUAUUUCUCAACUCCUAAUAUUGAUCAAAUUACACUGAGUGGAAUAUCUGACAUUGGCUUUGAAAAAUACCCACAAAAGACUACCAGUGCAGCAAAUGCCGCUGGCUGCUUUAAGCAUUCUUGACUUGGACAUUCAUUUUGCCAACACACGGCUAACCUUUGUUUAAACGCUGCUCUUAGCAAAAAUGUUUUUGGAGUUACCUUUUUGAAGCUAAUCAUUUGUGUUAGUUUACACUUCCUCCUCCAAUUUAUAAUGUGGGAAGGUCAAAAUAAUGAAAACUAUCUAACAAAUAUAUUAAUUGGGAUGUUGAUUACUUCUCCUUGCCAUUAUCAUUCAGCUGAUAAGAUGUGAUUGGGGUCCCUGGGCCGCCGGUUUGCCUGGCAGGGGAUCCCUGGGCCGCCGGUUUGCCUGGCAGGGGGUCCCUGGGGAAGAAAAGGUUUAACACCCCUGCUAUAACCCAUACAUUAAAAAUGAUUGAAAACCUUUUUCCUUUCAAAUGAGAUCAACUAUGUUGUCUAUGCAUUAUAUAUUUAUAGCCAGCAGCAUUACAUAAUUUUAGUUUCACUUCAUAUCUUGCAAGUAUUUUUUUACAUAUGUGCAACAAUUUAGAGUCUAUUCAUGAAUAAACAGUAAUUCUCCCUUAAACCACUGCACCACCCUUAUUAAACCCAGCGUACAUCUGUAGAUGUCAUGGCUGGAGCCUGGAGCCUGGAGCCUAUUCAGACUGGUGAGAAGAAAGAGCCUUUGACUAAGCGCCCCCUACUCGGCUGCUGUGAAGAUAACGUGAGCCCCUACCAUCACACUCAAGCCCUGGUCUCUCUGCUCCCCCUGACCCACUAGGUGUGCUGGCUGGAACCAGUGCAGACUGCUGAGAAAGCCUACUCAGCCUCCGUGAAGACUGCCCUGUCUACCUCUCACAGGUUCCUGACGACUUCACGGCAGUUAUGAGUGCCAGUAAGGGAGAACACGCCGUCGUUCCCCCUCGGGAGCAUGGAGAACCCCUGACACACCUUCAUCACAACCUGGCCUGAGACUGCUCGCUUGCUGACGUCAUUGUGCGUGAGUUGGACAACACCGGAGAAGACCGCCAACUCAACAAACUGCGUGUGAAGAUCAAACCAGGUGUUGACCCUGAUGAGAAGGGCUUCUGAUUUGUCUCCUACCUGGCCCACCUGGCUGGAGAUCAGAGUUGUUUCGAUGCCUUCUUCAAGGCCUACAUUGACAAGUUCAAGUUCUGCAGUGUUAUGGCAGAGGAUGCCCUAGAGUUCUUCCUGGAGUAUUUCCCUGACCUGAAGAAGAAAGGAGUACACAAGAUUGAGGUCUGGAGUUUGAUAGCUGGCUCAAUGUGCCUGGUUGGCCUCUCUAUCUCCCUGACUUGUCGGCAGGCCAGAGCCUGAUGAAGCCUGCUGAGCAGCUGUCAGAGCUGUGGGCUGUCGAGGGCCUGGAUAUGGCCAGCAUCAUGAAGACCAACAUCCAGGGUUGGAAGACUUACUUCCUGGAGGAGAUCAUAGAGAAGUCCCCACUUUCUAGAGGUAAUAUAGAGAAACAGGAGGAGCAGUACCCUCACAUCGUGAAGUCAAACAACGCUGAGCUACGACUGUGCUGGGCCCAGAUCAUUUCCAAGAAUCGGCACCAGCCAGGAUAUCAACAUGUGCGCAGCUUCCUCAGCUGCCAGGGGAAACAGAUGUACACUCUGCCUGUGUACCGUGCACUGUGGAAUGGAUCGGAGGAUGCCAGGUCUCUGGCCACAGAUCUUCAAUGCCACAUCACAUCAGCUCCACGUCAAUGUCCACAACUAUGUCAAGAAGAUCAUCGCCUGAGUGCCGUCAUAAGAGCUGAACAUGAGAUCCAGUGUCGUCUAGCUGACCCUGGACUUGAGAUAUUAUAGAGAAGGAGAAGCAGUAGUGGUCUGUCCCAGUACUUUUAGCUGGCCUGUUCCUUAAAUGUAUUGUCAGGUUGAAAUGCCAACAUUAUCUUGUUUUUUACUGUCGCCUGGUCAGUGGUUACAGGAAAAGAGGCAAUUUUACAUAUUUCACAUGCAGCUUGAAUGGUAAAUCCUUUGCAUUUACACAGCCCAGCAUGAAAGGCUCUGCUCUGGGCAUAUCUUGCCUAAAGCAUAGAUAUGCCCAUGCUAAUUAAGCAGUACUUGUGAUGAAAAAAUCAAUUGGAUUAAUAAGGAAAAAUUAAAUUACUACUUUUGAUGUAUUGAGUAUGUAUAAAAACAUUUUUAUUGUUUUUUCAUCCAAACUAAGCUGUAUUUUAAAAACUGUUCCAAACAAUACAAAUACAUUAUUUUGAAGUAAAUCUGUAGUGGUUGGUGUUUUUCCUCCUGAAAGAUUCAAUGUAUCUUAUUGCUUUUAUUUGCUGUUCACUGUAUACUUUAUUUUAUUACAAUGAACAAAAAUAUAAACGCAGCAUGGAAAGCGUUGGUUUAAUGAGCUGAAAUAAAAUAUCCUAGAAAUGUUUCAUACACACAAAAAGCUUAUUUCUCUAAAAUGUUGUGCACAAAUUUGUUUACAUCCCUGUGAGUGAGCAUUUCUCCUUUGCCAAAAUAAUCCAUCAACCUGACAGAGGGGACAUAUCAAGAAGCUGAUGAAACAGAAUGAUCAUUACAGAGGUGCACCUUGUGCUGGGGAUAAUAAAAGGCCACUCUAAAAUGUGCAGUUUUGUUAAAACACAAAGCAACAGAUGUCUCAAGCUUUGAGGUGGUGUGCAAUUGGCAUGCUGACUGCAGGAAUGUCCACCAGAGCUGCUGCCACAUAAUUUAAUGUUCAUUUAUCUACCAUAAAAUGCCUCCAACUUCGUUUUAGAGAAUUUGGCAGUAUGUCCAUCUGGCCUCCCAACCGCAGACCACGUGUUUGGUGUUGUGCGGGCAAACGGUUUGCUGAUGCCAACGUUGUGAACAGAGUGCCCUGCCCCAUGGUGGCGGUGUUGUUAUUGUAUGGGCAGGCAUAAACUACGGAUAACGAACACAAUUGCACUUUAUCCAUCGCAAUUUGACUGCACAGAAAUACGGUGACGCGAUCGUGAGUCCCAUAGUAGGGCCCAUUUAAAAACAAAAAAA